rnacentral:rRNA from 1 species
GGGAGGCAGCAGUAGGGAAUCUUCGGCAAUGGACGAAAGUCUGACCGAGCAACGCCGCGUGAGUGAAGAAGGUUUUCGGAUCGUAAAACUCUGUUGUUAGAGAAGAACAAGGAUGAGAGUAGAACGUUCAUCCCUUGACGGUAUCUAACCAGAAAGCCACGGCUAACUACGUGCCAGCAGCCGCGGUAAUACGUAGGUGGCAAGCGUUGUCCGGAUUUAUUGGGCGUAAAGCGAGCGCAGGCGGUUUCUUAAGUCUGAUGUGAAAGCCCCCGGCUCAACCGGGGAGGGUCAUUGGAAACUGGGAGACUUGAGUGCAGAAGAGGAGAGUGGAAUUCCAUGUGUAGCGGUGAAAUGCGUAGAUAUAUGGAGGAACACCAGUGGCGAAGGCGGCUCUCUGGUCUGUAACUGACGCUGAGGCUCGAAAGCGUGGGGAGCGAACAGGAUUAGAUACCCUGGUAGUCCACGCCGUAAACGAUGAGUGCUAAGUGUUGGAGGGUUUCCGCCCUUCA